rnacentral:rRNA from 1 species
GAUGAACGCUGGCGGCGUGCCUAACACAUGCAAGUCGAGCGAACGGACCAGAAGCAGUCGCCUACGAUGUCAUCGGCGGACGGGUGAGUAACUCGGGGUUAGCCUACCUACAAGACAGGGAUGACUACGGGGAACCGGAGCUACUAACGGAAAAUUUUUCGAACCUGAUGGUUCAAAAGUGCAAGACGAACUUUCUUAGACUUAUGGAUGGGCCCGCGCUGCAUUAGCUAGUUGGUAGGGUAAAGGCUCACCAAGGCGACGACGCAUACCUGACCUGAGAGGAUGAUCAGCCACACUGGGACUGAGACACGGCCCAGACUCCUACGGGAGGCAGGAGUGGGGAAUAUUGGACAAUGGGCGAAAGCCUGAUCCAGCAAUGCCGGGUGAGUGAUGAAGGCCUUAGGGUUGUAAAGCUCUUUUAACCGGGAUGAUAAUGACAGUACCGGGAGAAUAAGCUCCGGCUAACUCCGUG